rnacentral:lncRNA from 1 species
CCCCUAGUCCCACUAGUCUAUCCUCCCAGCCUCUCAGACUGAAUCCCCUAGUCCCACUAGACUAUCCUUCCAGCCUCUCAGACUGAAUCUCCUAGUCCCACUAGACUAUCCUUCCAGCCUCUCAGACUGAAUCUCCUAGUCCCACUAGACUAUCCUUUCAGCCUCUCAGACUGAAUCUUCUAGUCCCACUAGACUAUCCUUCCAGCCUCCCAGACUGAACCUCCUAGUCCCACUAGACUGCCCUUCCAGUCCUCCCAGACUGAAUCUCCUAGUCCCACUAGACUAUCCUUCCAGCCUCCCAGACUGAACCUCCUAGUCCCACUAGACUGCCCUUCCAGUCCUCCCAGACUGAAUCUCCUAGUCCCACUAGACUAUCCUUCCAGCCUCUCAGACUGAAUCUCCUAGUCCCACUAGACUAUCCUUCCAGCCUCUCAGACUGAAUCUCCUAGUCCCACUAGACUAUCCUCCCAGCCUCUCAGAC